GGGAAACUAAAGAAAUUGCACGGGAAUGACUACUCACAUGAACUAAAUUGACGCCUAAGCUCUUGAAACCUUUGACGAUUUUGGCCUUGGCCGGGUUGGAGAGAGCGGGCUCCCUCAGGAGAGCGAAGGUAGGGUGACCGGACUUGGCAC